GACGAACGCUGGCGGCGUGCCUAAUACAUGCAAGUUGAGCGAUGAAGAUUGGUGCUUGCACCGAUUUGAAGAGCAGCGAACGGGUGAGUAACGCGUGGGGAAUCUGCCUUUGGGCGGGGGACAACAUUUGGAAACGGAUGCUAAUACCGCAUAACAACUUUAAACAUAAGGUUUAAGUUUGAAAGAUGCAAUUGCAUCACUCAAAGAUGAUCCCGCGUUGUAUUAGCUAGUUGGUGAGGUAAAGGCUCACCAAGGCGAUGAUACAUAGCAGAACUGAGAGGGUGAUCGGCCACCUUGGGACGGUGACACGGCCCAAACUCCUACGGGAGGCAGCAGUAGGGAAUCUUCGGCAAUGGACGAAAGUCUGACCGCGCAACGCCGCGGGAGUGUAGAAGGUCUCCGGAUCGUAAAACUCUGUUGGUAGAGAAGAACGUUGGUGAGAGUGUAAAGCUCAUCAAGUGACGGUAACUACCCAGAAAGGGACGGCUAACUACGUG
rnacentral:rRNA from 1 species